rnacentral:rRNA from 1 species
AUUGAACGCUGGCGGCAGGCCUAACACAUGCAAGUCGAACGGUAACAGAAAGCAGCUUGCUGCUUUGCUGACGAGUGGCGGACGGGUGAGUAAUGUCUGGGAAACUGCCUGAUGGAGGGGGAUAACUACUGGAAACGGUAGCUAAUACCGCAUAACGUCGCAAGACCAAAGAGGGGGACCUUCGGGCCUCUUGCCAUCGGAUGUGCCCAGAUGGGAUUAGCUAGUAGGUGGGGUAAAGGCUCACCUAGGCGACGAUCCCUAGCUGGUCUGAGAGGAUGACCAGCCACACUGGAACUGAGACACGGUCCAGACUCCUACGGGAGGCAGCAGUGGGGAAUAUUGCACAAUGGGCGCAAGCCUGAUGCAGCCAUGCCGCGUGUAUGAAGAAGGCCUUCGGGUUGUAAAGUACUUUCAGCGGGGAGGAGGGGAGUAAAGUUAAUACCUUUGCUCAUUGACGUUACCCGCAGAAGAAGCACCGGCUAACUCCGUG